rnacentral:misc_RNA from 1 species
GAUGAAGAACGUAGCGAAAUGCGAUAAAUAAUGUGAAUUGCAGAAUUCAGUGAAUCAUCGAAUCUUUGAACGCACAUUGCGCCCGUCAGUAUUCUGGCGGGCAUGCCUGUUCGAGCGUCAUUACGCCCCUCAAGUCCCCUGUGGACUUGGUGUUGGGGAUCGGCGAGGCUGGUUUUCCAGCACAGCCGUCCCUUAAAUUAAUUGGCGGUCUCGCCGUGGCCCUCCUCUGCGCAGUAGUAAAACACUCGCAACAGGAGCCCGGCGCGGUCCACUGCCGUAAAACCCCCCAACUUUUUAUAGUUGACCUCGAAUCAGGUAGGACUACCCGCUGAACUUAAGCAUAUCAAUAAGCGGAGGA